GGAGCUGUGGCUCAGUGGUAGAGCGCCUGCCUUGCAUGUGUGAGGCACUGGGUUCGAUCCCCAGCACCA
rnacentral:tRNA from 1 species